GAAGAGAGAGUUCAAGAGUACGUGAAACCGCAUAGAGUCAAACUGGUGGAUCCGCAGAGUCCGCGCGGGGAAUUCAGCUCGGCAGGCGGGGCCGUGCGCCGGCCGAGAUUCGUCUCGGACCUGGCUGGCGCGCUGCGUACUCGCAGGCAGGGUGCACUUUCCCCGGCUAGCGGAAGGCCACGACCGGUUCGGUGGCGGUCAGGAGCCCGGAGCGGGAGGUAGCCGUGAUCGGUUCACGCCGAUUGCGGAACGUACAGCCCUCCGAGGUGGACUCGCCGCUGGACCGAGGAUGCCGCGGUGGCCUCACGCCGCGGGCCGUCCGGGAGCGUUCGACUUUGGCCACGCUGCUCGCAGCCGGCCGAGACCGCGCUUCUGGUACGGGCUCGCGAACGGGGGCCGCCUAGGGUCAGUGGCGAAUCGGUCGGCAACCCACCAGACCCGUCUUGAAACACGGACCAAGGAGUCUAGCAUGUGCGCGAGUCACGGGGUCUCUCGAAACCCAAGGGCGCAAUGAAAGUGAAGGCCGCCUCCGGCUGGCCCAGGCAAGAUCCCGAGACGUUCGCGUCGAGGGCGCACUGCCGGCCCGUCUCGCUGGCAUCGACCACGAGGCGGAGCAAGAGCGCACACGCUGGGACCCGAAAGAUGGUGAACUAUGCCUGAGUAGGACGAAGU
rnacentral:rRNA from 1 species